CCCAGAGGAUCCUACGGGAAGGCAGCAGUGGGGAAUAUUGCACAAUGGGCGCAAGCCUGAUGCAGCGACGCCGCGUGAGGGAUGGAGGCCUUCGGGUUGUAAACAUCUUUUAUCGGGGAGCAAGCGUGAGUGAGUUUACCCGUUGAAUAAGCACCGGCUAACUACGUGCCAGCAGCCGCGGUAAUACGUAGGGUGCAAGCGUUAUCCGGAAUUAUUGGGCGUAAAGGGCUCGUAGGCGGUUCGUCGCGUCCGGUGUGAAAGUCCAUCGCUUAACGGUGGAUCCGCGCCGGGUACGGGCGGGCUUGAGUGCGGUAGGGGAGACUGGAAUUCCCGGUGUAACGGUGGAAUGUGUAGAUAUCGGGAAGAACACCAAUGGCGAAGGCAGGUCUCUGGGCCGUUACUGACGCUGAGGAGCGAAAGCGUGGGGAGAGAACAGGAUUAGAUACCCUGGUAGUCCACGCCGUAAACGGUGGAUGCUGGAUGUGGGGCCCGUUCCCCGGGUUCCGUGUCGGAGCUAACGCGUUAAGCAUUCCGCCCUGGGAGAACCCA
rnacentral:rRNA from 1 species